AGCGAACGCUGGCGGCAGGCCUAACACAUGCAAGUCGAACGAAACCUUCGGGUCUAGUGGCGCACGGGUGCGUAACGCGUGGGAACGUGCCCUUAGGUUCGGAAUAACUCAGGGAAAUUUGUGCUAAUACCGAAUGUGCCCUUCGGGGGAAAGAUUUAUCGCCUUUAGAUCGGCCCGCGUCUGAUUAGUUAGUUGGUUGAGGUAAUGGCUCACCAAGGCGACGAUCAGUAGCUGGUCUGAGAGGAUGAUCAGCCACAUUGGGACUGAGACACGGCCCAAACUCCUACGGGAGGCAGCAGUGGGGAAUCUUGCGCAAUGGGCGAAAGCCUGACGCAGCCAUGCCGCGUGAAUGAUGAAGGUCUUAGGAUUGUAAAAUUCUUUCACCGGGGACGAUAAUGACGGUACCCGGAGAAGAAGCCCCGGCUAACUUCGUG
rnacentral:rRNA from 1 species